GAUGAACGCUGGCGGCGUGCCUAAUACAUGCAAGUCGAGCGCACGGACGAGAAGCUUGCAUCUCUGAUGUUAGCGGCGGACGGGUGAGUAACACGUGGAUAACCUACCUAUAAGACUGGGAUAACUUCGGGAAACCGGAGCUAAUACCGGAUGAUAUUUUGAACCGCAUGGUUCAAAAGUGAAAGAUGGUCUUGCUGUAAUUUAUAGAUGGAUCCGCGCUGCAUUAGCUAGUUGGUAAGGAAACGGCUUACCAAGGCAACGAUGCAUAGCCGACCUGGGAGGUGGACCGCCACAAUGGGAACUGAGACACGGCCAAACCCCUAACGGGAGCCAGAGGAGGGGAUUCUUGCGAAAUGGGCGAAGUCCGGACGGGGCAACGCCGGGUGGGUGAUGAAGGUUUUCGAUUCUUAAACCUCGGUUAUAAGGAAGGAACAUAGUUGGAAUUAACUGUUCACAUCGUGACGGUACCUAAUCAGAAAGCCACGGCUAACUACGUG
rnacentral:rRNA from 1 species